ACUAGUGGGAGCUGAGUAAUCUUCUGGCCUUGGCAUUAUACAUGAAGAACCAAAGAGAAGGGUUCUAAAAGUUAAUGGUUAACUCUUUUUUCUUGACUGCUCAUAUGAAGAUUCUAAGCUAUGAUCGGCUCUAGAUAUCUGCUAGCAAGUUCCAAUUCAGGACCAUAUUCUGGACAGUAUGACAGAAGGCAUGAUAACCCUUGAGGACAAUUAGCAACAUGAAAAUAUCUUCUUGAGGUUGUUAAGAGAGAAGUAAGAGACACCGACAAU